rnacentral:misc_RNA from 1 species
AAGUCGUAACAAGGUUUCCGUAGGUGAACCUGCGGAAGGAUCAUUAACAAAAUUUUCCAAUCAAAUGACAUCUCGUGCCGAUUCCAAAGGCCGGAUGUUAUACCCCAAACUGUGACGAACUUGUUUUUUUCAAAUGAAAAAUUGCUGGUGCAGUUACAAGAGUUGGAUUAUCCAGCUCUCUAAUUUGCAUAAGCUUUUUUCGUUUUUUUUCUUUUUUUUUCCAAAAAACCCAAUGAAACCUUUAUUGACUGAAACAAUCAACUUGUUCUAACGAACGGUUGAUGAAACUCGAAUGAGAAAAACAACUCUUAACAACGGAUAUCUUGGCUCUC